rnacentral:rRNA from 1 species
UAGGGAAUCUUCGGCAAUGGGGGGAACCCUGACCGAGCAACGCCGCGUGAGUGAAGAAGGUUUUCGGAUCGUAAAGCUCUGUUGUUAAGGAAGAACGAGUGUGAGAAUGGAAAGUUCAUGCUGUGACGGUACUUAACCAGAAAGGGACGGCUAACUACGUGCCAGCAGCCGCGGUAAUACGUAGGUCCCGAGCGUUGUCCGGAUUUAUUGGGCGUAAAGCGAGCGCAGGCGGUUAGAAAAGUCUGAAGUGAAAGGCAGUGGCUCAACCAUUGUAGGCUUUGGAAACUGUUUAACUUGAGUGCAGAAGGGGAGAGAGGAAGUCCAUGGGUAGCGGUGAAAUGCGUAGAUAUAUGGAGGAACACCGGUGGCGAAAGCGGCUCUCUGGUCUGUAACUGACGCUGAGGCUCGAAAGCGUGGGGAGCGAACAGG